CCGCAAACCGACACUGGUGCGCGAGAUGAGUAUUCUAAGGCGCUUGAGAGAACUGCGGAGAAGGAACUCGGCAAAUUGAUACCGUAACUUCGGGAGAAGGUAUGCCCUAAGUAAGUGAAGUUGUACAAAUGGAGCUGAACAGGGUUGCAAAAAAUCGGUGGCUGCGACUGUUUAAUAAAAACACAGCACUCUGCAAACACGAAAGUGGACGUAUAGGGUGUGACGCCUGCCCGGUGCUGGAAGAUUAAAUGAUGGGGUGCAAGCUCUUGAUUGAAGUCCCAGUAAACGGCGGCCGUAACAAUAACGGUCCUAAGGUAGCGAAAUUCCUUGUCGGGUAAGUUCCGACCUGCACGAAUGGCGUAACGAUGGCCACACUGUCUCCUCCGCAGACUCAGCGAAGUUGAAAUGUUUGUGAUGAUGCAAUCUCCCGCGGAAAGACGGAAAGACCCAUGAACCUUUACUGUAGCUUUGUAUUG
rnacentral:rRNA from 1 species